UCCCAUAUGGUCUAGUGGUUAGGAUUUGGCGUUUUCACCGCCAAAGCCCGGGUUCAAUUCCCGGUGUGGUAA
rnacentral:tRNA from 1 species